CAGUCGCCGCGGGAAUACGAAGGGUGCAAGCGUUAAUCGGAAUUACUGGGCGUAAAGGGUGCGUAGGCGGUUGUUUAAGUCUGUUGUGAAAUCCCCGGGCUCAACCUGGGAAUGGCAAUGGAAACUGGACGGCUAGAGUGUGUCAGAGGAUGGUGGAAUUCCCGGUGUAGCGGUGAAAUGCGUAGAGAUCUGGAGGAAUACCGGUGGCGAAGGCGGCCCCCUGGACAAAGACUGACGCUCAGGUGCGAAAGCGUGGGGAGCAAACAGGAUUAGAUACCCGCGUAGUCCCUGUCUCUUAUAC
rnacentral:rRNA from 1 species